AUGGGUGUGUGGUGUGUGCAUGUAUGUGGUGUGGUGUAUGGCUGUGUGGUGUGUGUGUGGCAUAUGGGUGUGUGGUGUGUGCAUGUGUGUGGUGUGGUGUACGGCUGUGUGGUGUGUGUGUGUGGCGUAUGGGUGUGUGGUGUGUGCAUGUGUGUGGUGUGUACGGCUGUGUGGUGUGUGUGUGGCUUAUGGGUGUGUGGUGUGUGUGUGGUGUAUCGGUGUGUGGUGUGUGCAUGUGUGUGGUGUGUACGGCUGUGGUGUGUGUGUGGCAUAUGGGUGUGUGGUGUGUGCAUGUGUGUGGUGUGUACGGCUGUGUGGUGUGUGUGGCGUAUGGGUGUGUGGUGUGUGCAUGUGUGUGGUGUGUACGGCUGUGUGGUGUGUGUGUGGCUUAUGGGUGUGUGGUGUGUGCAUGUGUGCGGUGUGUACGGCUGUGUGGUGUGUGUGUGGCAUAUGGGUGUGUGGUGGUGGGUGCGUGUGUGGUGUGUAGCCGUGUGGUGUGUGCAGCGUGGCGUGGUGUAUGGGUGUGUGGUGGUGGGUGCGUGUGUGGUGUGUAGCCAUGUGGUGUGGUGUGUGCAGCGUGGCAUGGUAUAUGGGUGUGUGGUGGGUGCAUGUGUGUGUGAUGUGUAGCUGUGUGGUGUGGUGUGUGUGCGGCGUGGCGUAUGGGUGUAUGUGUCUGUGAUGUGCGUCUGUGGUGUGGUGUGUGCGCGUGUGGUGUCGUAGUGGCAGGGGGUGGUGAGUGCCUAGCACUGUCUCUAGAAAAUGGCCACCCUGUGUUCCCACCACCCUGCCAGGAGGGGCAGGAAGGGGAGGCCUUGGCCACCGGCCAGACUUGAGCCUGGUCUGUGAGGCUGUUUUGGUCUCUGGCCUCACAGGCCAACAGAGAAGACAGACAAACAGGAAGAAAGCGGCUGCUUAGGCUGGGCUGGGCUGGGCUGAGCCAGGCCAGGCCUGGGUGCAGGGUGGGGCCGAGUGGAAAGAGAACC
rnacentral:lncRNA from 1 species